UCAGAUUUUUUACUGAUACACUACUAUUUUUAUGUAAUAUAUUUUUUUUAUCACCUAGUAUUUUGGAUUUGUAUUGUUGGUUUUGUAACAUAACAUAUUUGAACAUGUUUGUUGACCACUAUAUAAAAUAUGGUAAAUUUUAGGAUUUUCAGAAGAAUCGAGGGCCUAAAAAUGAGCAUUUCUCAACUAAAAAUGCAGUUAAUCGAUGACGAUUGUGAGCCUCCGUUAUCUGAUUUGACAAAAUUUUAAUGCAAUUGCCCCAAUCAUGAUGAUGAAAGUGCUCACAAAAAUUAAUAACUCACCAAUGGUGCAUUCCUGCUACAAAAAACUAAGCAAGUCUGAAAUUGAAAAUAUUGUUGCCAAUUCUUUGGGAGAUAUACGGAAUGCCAUAAAUUCUAUGCAGUUCAUGUGCAUGUCUUGUACGUUAUCUACAUAAUGAUUCUAAUUUUUAUAAACAUAUGAUUCUUCAUUUUUCGUGUUGCAAAAACAAUAUGCGUUUGAUAAAAUUAUCUAAGGAUUGACUUUAUGUUUAUUGCAUUUUUAGAAAUAACUUAGAAACAUUGUUAAAGUUUAUCAUAUAAUCAACUUC